rnacentral:lncRNA from 10 species
CCAGAGCCACGCAGCUCCGGGCUCCUGCCCCUGUCCGCAGAAGUCGCCCAAGGCGUCCACUUGCACCCCUUCACACAUACACCUGCAGAAGCAGCCGCACCUCUGCCCAGUGCUGCUGGGUGGCCACGUUCACUGGCCUUCGGCUCAAAAUGCUGGCUCUCCACCCAGAGCCUUCCUGGGCCUUAAACAUAAUUCUACUGUUGAACUGGGCUGUCACAGAGUGCCUCAAAAGUCACCUCCUUCUCCCCACUCCCAGCUCCAGAGCACCGGUGACUGUGACUUCCACUUCCAAUGUCUUGUGUCAUUCAAGGAGGGCAGGUAAGAGGACGUGCCCAGGUUAGCCUCUUCCUUGGACAUUCGACGUCACCAUUCCUCCAGAGUGGUGCAAAGCUAGGUGUGCGCGGAGCUGGGGAAGGGCAAAAGCCCAGCCAGCUUGUCUCUGCUUGUUUCUAUCCACGCAGGCACAUGGAGACACACACACACACACACACACACACACACACACACAUCACAUCCUUGUGGCCCCACCACCUCUGGCCCCCACACUCCAUUCAGCCCCCGGCCUCUCUGCUGCCAUAAGCACCCUCCUACCAGCAAGCACAGCCAUCACUUGGAGGCUGUGGUCCUGAGCUCUGGCUUCCCCAAAGGUGAAACGGAAUGAUAGGAUUGUUGUGGGGAUUCCAUGAGAUGACGUCUGUAAACAGCUCAGCACAGUGCGGGGCACAUGAAGAUGACCAUGAUUCUGCCACUUCCCCUAGAAGUCAGUUACACCCAAGUCCCUUCAGUGCCCAGACACCUGCCACCAUGCCACCACUGCCACAUGACACCACUGCCACCACUGCCACAUGCCACCACUGCCACCACUGCCACCAUGCCACCACUGCCACCAGGCCACCACUGCCACACGACACCACUGCCACCAGGCCACCACUGCCACCACUGCCACCAUUGCUACAUGACACCACUGCCGCCACUGCCACCACUGCCACCAUGACACCACUGCCCUGGCCACAGAGCAGGCUCAAGGGCCUUCAUCCUUCACAUAAGCCACCUGCCACUAUGUGGUCAACACGACCAGUGCCCAGCAAUAUCCCCAUCCUCCUGUCUUUCUGGGCACAUGGAAGGCCGUACUGUCUGGCCACUUGGCAGUCCCUGGGCAGGGCCAGGUGCUCAGUCCUGGCUAACAAACUGUAAGUGGACAUGACAAGUAUCAUUUCACGGCUGAACAGUGAAAAAUUACACACAGCUCUUUCUCCCUUUCUCCUCCCUCUGUGACCCUUGGAGGCCACAUAUUCCAAAUGGUGCAGUCUCCAUCAGGCUGGGUCCCGGCAUGACCACGGGGAGCAGAGCCCCCCGUCUACCAGGACCACUGUGAGCAAGCAGCAGCUUGCUUGUGUUAAGUGAUGAGGAUUUCAGCAGUAAUUUGUGGGGGGUUUUGGUUGUUUUUUUUUUUUUUGACACAGAGUCUCACUCUGUCGCCCAGCCUGGAGUGCAGUGGCACAAUCUUGGCUCACUGCAACCUCUGCCUCCUGAGUUCAAGUGAGUCUCCUGCCUCAGCCUCCUGAGUAGCUGGGAUUACAGUCACCCACUACCACACUCAGCUAAUUUUUAUAUUUUUAGUAGAGAUGGGAUUUCCCAAUGUUGGCCAGGCUGGUCUCAAACUCCUGACCUCAGGUGACCCACCCGCCUCAGCCUCCCAAAGUGCCGGGAUUAGUGUGAGCUACCACGCCCGGCCUUCAGCAUUAAUUUGGUUCUACGGCAUGACCGGCUACCCUAACACCCUGCUCCCACUCAGCCCUUCCAUGUAUGCUCAGAAGGCCAACCCCAGCCUCACGGAAGCUCCACACACACUUCCCAACACAGCACCUGACAGUC